UCUGUUCUUCAGUGAUUCUUUCAUUUUUCUUUUCCAUCCAGACAGGUUGGGUUUGCUGAGGUUCCUGGAAGAUAAAGAACCCAAUGUGUUGCUCUUCUAUUCCUCAGCCUUACAGCUCAAAAGAAAAAGGUAUGUAGGGUAAGUUGCAGCCUUUGGCUUAGACAUGUAGGAGCUUAUCCUGGGAAUAAACAGGCCAUCUUCAGGUCCAGGCGCA
rnacentral:lncRNA from 1 species